CAGUUGUGUACAAUACGUUCAAAUCAGUUAACAAACAGCACAAUUUCAACAACGAAAAAACCCAGCAAUACAACAACAUCAAUCAACAUCAGACACCUUCAAUAUCGUCAACCCAUCCACAACCCGAAUCCGAUGAAACCCGAUCCUAGCAUCGCAUACAGCUUCAACCAAACCCAAACUCAAUCCGACGCUCGCGUGCAUCACGCGCAUCCCACGUGAAUCUGUAGGAGAAAAGCAUAGGAAGCUUAUAGAAUAGGUACAGGUGUCUCCCUCAACGGAUCAAUUCCACAAAUCUCGGGUAUAGGGGUACGCUUUCGUACGUAUGUGAUACAAUUUCAUCGGGACUUGGUAAAAAUUCAUUUUCCCUAAAUCUGAUUAGUCCACCAAUUUCAAAAUUUUGGAGAAAAAUAACGAAGUUGGUAUAAUUUGUUAAGGGGAAAUCUUAUCUUAAGUUCAAAUAGGGAAUUCCUUUUUGAAAAUUUUUAAAAUGCCACAUCGGUGGAACAUUUGGGAGGGAAAAGAGGGUCUUGAAAUCUUGAAGGCUGAAAAAGAGGCUUUCAAGCAAACAUUUUCUGUUAGUAAAAAAUAUUCUUCAAAAGCUGUCGGAAGUGUCGGAGUAGCUGUGAAGCUUUUUUGUCUCAUUUUGCUGCCCCGAAAGAGACUUUUUCUCCUUGCAUUUCAUAAUGGGCUAACAUCGCCCACUUUCUCAAGUCAUGCCCGAAAGAGAAUCCAAAAUCGAUUACAUAGCAUACGGAUGCAAGAAGUCGAAAGAGGAAUAAUGGGUUAAAAUCCCAUCGUUGAAGUGGCCGAGGAAUUAGAAAGUCUCUUUUCUUUUAUUUGUUUAUUUAUUUAUAUAUUUAUUGUCGUCUUUUAUUUAUUUGUUUAUUUAUUUAUUCCUUUAUUCAUUCAUUUGGGCCUCGAAGCCAAAGUUAUAAAUUCAAUACAGGUACAGCAGGUUACGGGCCAAGGCUCAAAAACUAAAUUAGGCCAGGUGAAAUGGGUCGAAAGCCCAAUUAGACUAGGACAGGUCUCGCUGAUUUGGGCCCAAUGGCUAAAUCCUUUACUUUCUCC